rnacentral:rRNA from 1 species
GAGUUUGAUCAUGGCUCAGAAUCAACGCUGGCGGCAUGCCUAACACAUGCAAGUCGAACGAAUUACCUUCGGGUAGUUAGUGGCGCACGGGUGCGUAACGCGUGGGAAUCUGCCCCUUGGUUCGGAAUAACAGUUGGAAGCGACUGCUAAUACCGGAUGAUGACGUAAGUCCAAAGAUUUAUCGCCGAGGGAUGAGCCCGCGUAGGAUUAGGUAGUUGGUGUGGUAAAGGCGCACCAAGCCGACGAUCCUUAGCUGGUCUGAGAGGAUGAUCAGCCACACUGGGACUGAGACACGGCCCAGACUCAUACGGGAGGCAGCAGUGGGGAAUAUUGGACAAUGGGCGAAAGCCUGAUCCAGCAAUGCCGCGUGAGUGAUGAAGGCCUUAGGGUUGUAAAGCUCUUUUACCCGGGAUGAUAAUGACAGUACCGGGAGAAUAAGCUCCGGCUAACUCCGUGCCAGCAGCCGCGGUAAUACGGAGGGGGCUAGCGUUAUUCGGAAUUACUGGGCGUAAAGCGCACGUAGGCGGCUUUGUAAGUAAGAGGUGAAAGCCCAGAGCUCAACUCUGGAAUUGCCUUUUAGACUGCAUCGCUUGAAUCAUGGAGAGGUCAGUGGAAUUCCGAGUGUAGAGGUGAAAUUCGUAGAUAUUCGGAAGAACACCAGUGGCGAAGGCGGCUGACUGGACAUGUAUUGACGCUGAGGUGCGAA